rnacentral:misc_RNA from 1 species
AAGACCAAGUUCAUAUGCCACACGCCUAGCCGUGGCAAGGACAGCGACACGGCGUGGUUGAGUAACUCCAAUAAUACCACCUCGGGCAACAGACUGUUUUGAACCAAAGCCUGCUUCAUAAAGGAACUGAGGAACUUGAGUAGUUUUUCCACACCCUGUUUCUCCACAGAUAAUAACAGUGGAAUGCCCAUUUAUAGCUUCCAUUAUCUCCUGUUCCAUCAUAACUAUUGGAAGAUCCUUCCUUUGCUCUUCCACAGCAUUGGGCCUUACAACGUGCACUACUGUUGGAGAGGCAAUAGGACUUUGAAAAUAACAUUUCAGUACGUUGCGAGUCCCUCCCAAAGCUGCAAUCGAGCUCUCAUCUGAUUUAACCAUUAAGUGAGAGGUUUUCCUAGUAUCA